GGGUCAGUAGGUUGGUCGUGCCACCGGUACGUACUGGUCUCACUGAUUCCUCCUUCCUGAAGAACCGUAAUGCCAUUAAUUUGGUGUUGCGGGGAAACAGGACUGUUACUUAGAAAAAAUUAGAGUGUUUAAAGCAAGCUAACGCUUGAAUACAUUAGCAUGGAAGAAUGAAAUAGGACGAUCGAUCCUAUUUUGUUGGUUUCUAGCAUUGACGUA
rnacentral:rRNA from 1 species